rnacentral:rRNA from 1 species
AGUGAACGCUGGCGGUAGGCCUAACACAUGCAAGUCGAACGGCAGCACAGUAAGAGCUUGCUCUUACGGGUGGCGAGUGGCGGACGGGUGAGGAAUACAUCGGCAUCUACUUUUUCGUGGGGGAUAACGUAGGGAAACUUACGCUAAUACCGCAUACGACCUACGGGUGAAAGCAGGAGAUCUUCGGACCUUGCGCGAUUGAAUGAGCCGAUGUCGGAUUAGCUAGUUGGCGGGGUAAGGGCCCACCAAGGCGACGAUCCGUAGCUGGUCUGAGAGGAUGAUCAGCCACACUGGAACUGAGACACGGUCCAGACUCCUACGGGAGGCAGCAGUGGGGAAUAUUGGACAAUGGGCGCAAGCCUGAUCCAGCCAUACCGCGUGGGUGAAGAAGGCCUUCGGGUUGUAAAGCCCUUUUGUUGGGAAAGAACAGCAGCAGGUUAAUACCCCGCUGUUCUGACGGUACCCAAAGAAUAAGCACCGGCUAACUUCGUG